rnacentral:lncRNA from 1 species
GGAACUUUUUGGAUCACAUUUUAAAUUUGAUGGGUAUACUGAAUUAAACGGUAAGUUGAUCAUCUGUACAUUGCUUAAUGAUUAAUUCAGCCGACAUCGAUAUUCUCAAAUGGUUUAGAAUUAAAUUCCGCACAUUCAAUAUUCGUGUCUUUGCCUUAAUCAAGAGAUUUUCAAGUGCAUCACUAAGAAAAAUCAGUCGGCGAACCUAAAAACAAUCUUUUUGCCCUCUUAGUGUACAAAUUAACGUAAAAACCAGACUAAAUUAACUCAAUGAAGUAUAUUUCAAGUGGUGGUAAAAGUUUCAACCAGAUCUUUGAAGCCAGAAAUAAGAAAAUUACACUUGUUUGAAUUUCUCACUGUACGAUCAGUCUCGCUUGUUUAUUUUAAAACUGUAUGAUCAGUCUUUAUGUCACUGUAUUCUAGUGGUGAUUUCAAAGUUAUUUACGAUACAUUAGAAGGUGGCAUUUUUCU